GUUUAUUAGGCGUUUGCACAAACGGGCUCUCUAAGGCAGACAGGAAGCCCCGAGCAGCUGUUACAGGCACUUUUAAAGACAAAAACCACAGGAUUAGCAUAAGACCCCAGG